rnacentral:lncRNA from 1 species
CUAUUAUAUAACCUUCCCUUCAAAAUUCCUAUCUACAAAAGCUAUUAAUAUGCAGACAUAAAAUGGUUCGACAACUCACCCAAAUCAUCCUUUAAUUUUUGCUCUGACCACGGCUCCAGGUCGCUAGGAACGUUGAUCAGGGUAUAACACGGCAUCUCUGCUAAAGUACUCAAGAUUUCUUCAGUUUUUUUCAGAAAAAAACAACCAAUUUCUAUCCAAAUCUUUGAUCUUGCAAAACACAAGUCAACGUGUCAAAAGAACCCGGUGACCUCGAUAUAUUUAUC